rnacentral:lncRNA from 1 species
ACCACUCUACUUAAAACAUUGUUUCACUUUUGAAAGAAGCUGUACAAGUCCCAUCAUAAGGACGAUAGCUGAGACAUAUUAAGUUUUGAGUCACUCAUUAUCCUGCAUAAUUGAACAUGAGAAUUCACAACAGGCUGAAUUACCAUGGAUCCAUUAGCAAUAAUGAGGUCAGGGAACUUAUCCUGAUAAGGCUGAUGGGGUUCUGUCAUCAGGUACUCUGUCACUAAAAAGGCUUAAUUCGCAAUGGAGCAUAUCUUUACAGAUGCUCAAGAAUAAAAUAAACUACUCUCAAUAGAAUCUUUGAACAACUGGCUGUUGGAUCAACUUCAACUGUUCUCAGGGACUCAUGAAGUGAACUGACAGUGUAUUAAAGGCAGUCUUGGCAGAAAGCUGGCCAGCUGGUACCAGAAAUCUUUAAUAACCUUAUAUGAAACAACACUUUGCUCGAGCUAGAUCAACACAACCUGAUAUAGAUGCCUCAGAAUUCUCUCUUGGGAAAAAAGAAAAUCCAAGAUGAGAUUGACAGAAGGAACAAUCUCCUAACCAUCUAUGGAAAGACUAAUCUUAUCUCACAGAGUCGUAACACCUUCAGGGUAGAAGAUACAACACACUUUGUUCUACAAAUGAGGAAAGUGAGGCCUAGGAGCUGUGUGUGCAGCCAAGCAGUGAGGAAGACCAAACUACACCUCCCAUCAAAUCAGAGUCAGUCAAUAAUGAUUUAAACCAAAAAGAAGUAUUGUCUGGGGAAACAGAAAAAUAAAAUUCACUCUCAGAAAUAUAAAUCACAAGUUGAAUGACAAACUUUUAUCACCAAUAAAAGAUUAAGAAAAAUA